ACAGUAAGGCUCAUGUCCUCCUCGCCGUGGCAGCUCUUUCAAGUUCUAGGAAGGAGGUUUCAUGUCUCAUACCUCAGGAUGCAUGUGGCUGUUUCUUCGGCUGCACAUGGCUGUUUCCUGGGUGGAUAACACUCUGCUUUGGGGCCUGCUGAGGGUGCAGUGAGUUGUGGUGUUCUGGAAAAGUGUGCACCGUAGGUUCCUGAAAGUCAGGCCAGGCCUAGGUUCAAAGCUCAGCUUCUCCUCUCAUUAGCUGUGGAGCAGCACCUACUUCAGAAGAAAUUUGUUAGAAUUAUAUACGAUUUCUAACAUAGGCUGCCACAACUUACCUAGCAUAUAUAUUAUAGCUUCACCAUGUAAAUGGCUAUACCAAAUACAUUUUUAGAAAAGACUCAAAUCAUGGCUAUUGGUUAUUGAUUUGAAAAGAAUUGUGUUCUAAAAAACUCUAUAUAAACUAUAAAGCUGUAGGCAUUAAGUAGAUAUAUAUCACUAUUAUUUCUUGUUAUGAGGCAAGUAAUGGUUUUAUACUAGACCCAGUUCAUUGGGUUAGCAUUUUGCUUGUCCUUUCGGCAUGUCUCUGAUUCUUUUUUCACUGAAUGACACUUAGCAGUUUACACAAAGUGCUUUUCACUUAUAUUAUCUCACUUCGUCCUUAGAGCAAACCUAUCAGGUAGAUGCUCUAAUUAUCCCCAUAUUACAAAUGAAGAAGACCGAGGCUACUACACAGAAAAUGGUUGCCUCCAGGCCACGUGGGAUUUAUGCUUCUGAAAUCUGUUGGUUUUUGUUGUUGUUGUUUAUCUGACAAAUCCCCUGCCAACCCUCCACAGAACUGUUGUGGUGAUUAAAUCACAGAGGUCGCUGUGCCUUUGAGGUAGGAGACUGGAAGCUUGCCUCUGCUGUAUCACCUUGGCCAUGUGAAAAAUGCCACAGUGGGGUGUGGGUUUGGGAACCAAGGGUAUGGAGCAGAGGAAACCAAGACAACUUGGCUUGAAUCCCGGCUCUGCCAACUCAGACAAGUCACCUAACCUCUCCCAAACUUCAUUUCCAGUCACUUACCAUCUCUGAUUCUUAGCUUCUAGAUACAUUGAAUAAUUGUCUUUACCAGUGGGGUUGUUAUGAGGAUAUAAGAGGAUAGUAUGUCUGGCAUUGAUCCUAGUUUAAUGUAUACUGAAUUAAUUACAUAUUACAUUGCCUUUUAUUUCAUAGUACCUACCACUGAUGGAUAAACCACCUAUUUGUCUUUUAUGCAAGGGGAUCCCCUCUCAUUCAGCUUGUUGAUAGAUGUAGUGAAACCUCCUUAAGUCAUGAGGAGCUUAGUCUAGUGGUUAGAGAGCAGAACUGAGUCACAAAGUCUAUUUCCCAAAAUGAGUCACUUUGUAGCUAGCAUUUUGCUUUAGUAAGAGUCAGAGAUGGAAAAAGGGGGACACAUUGGUGGGGUAGGGCUGUGGAUGUGGGUGGGGGAUGGGACCCCUCCUUCCUGUGGUGAGCAGCUCUGGAGUCUGGCUUGACCACCUCUCUUCCUUCAAGACCAGGUGGCGUUUCACUGGAUGAAUUAUUUCAGUUUAUCAUUGCUCCUGAUGUUUACAUGUUUCCAGUUUCUUUUUACUACUCCAAGAAUCUACUUUUGGAAACACCAGUCAUACUUGCUGUGUGACCUUAGCCAGGUCUCUUCCCUCUCUGGUCCUCAUUCUAAUAAUCUACUAAGUGGUGGGAUUGUGUCUGGUGUCUCUAAAGUUCAUUUCACUUUGGCGUUCAGACCUCCUAGGAUGGAGGUUAGAGUUCUAGGUGUGUUCUCGUGUGCCAAGGAGAAAGAAUGACCCACUCAUUGCACCCAUCAUUUCCUGGAUCCUGACACAUCAUCCUGUAAUUUCAGACUGGCUCCUAGGGCACCUCAUGCCAGCUGGUUAUUUUCCAUCCCACCUAUAGUGCUGCCAUCCUCUAAGCACAAGAAAAAUGGUGCUGGCACUGGAGAGGGUUAGCAUUUUUAAAGGAGCCCAAAUAGCCUUAGGGCCACUUGUUUCUUCAAGGCCCCAGGUGACAGUUCAAGAGCAAGUGAGAUGGUCUUAACUUCACACAAAACCAUUUAUCAGGGAGUCACUUCCCAUUUAUGGCUGGUUGUUUUGGUUACCAAACAGACGGACAUACAUGGAAUUAUAUUUCUCUCUCUCUCUCGUGUUUUUAAUACUGAGGUGGGGCCAUUGUGGGAUUAGCUUAGAGCCAUGAGUCAUUGGGUGCAGGGCAUGUUUCUAUUUGUCGUAGCAUUUUAUUAUUAUUAUUGAAGCAUCUAUAACCGCGUGGGAACUGGAGCCCAGCUUGACCACCUCUCUUCCUUCAGAUGGCCUCUAUGUUCCUACAUAUGUCAUAAGCAGCGUGAGCAACAGCUACACACUCAUUCGAUAAUGGAGGACAUGCCAGUUGAAGUUGGGUCCAGAAUUCUUCAUACCUGACUAGCCUGUGGGCAUAUAAUGGUUAAAAUUACUGGAGAAAUUUCAAUGAAGAGGGGGAAGAAAAAGAGAGAGAGCACUGAUUUGGGAAUCAGGAGUUUAAGCUUGAUUAGUAAGCAUUACAUAAAUUUGGGUCAAUGAUUUUACCCCUUUAGGAGAGUAGGGUGAUUGGGGCAAAAAAAGGAAAUAAAGUUUGUCUAGUUUUCCAGACCAAUUAAUUGGUAGUAGCUGUCUGAUGCGGUGUGCUGAGAAUUAUGGAACAUCAUUUGGAUCCUUGGGAAGAAGAUCCUUGGAAAAUGAGCAGCAUUGAAGCUCUGUGAGAAGAAUCUUGAGUCCCAUAGUAAUGUCUGCCAAGGACUCUGGCGGAGGAGAGACAUAAAGGGAGUGGGGAGUGUUUGCCAUUCUGGCACUAGAUGAUCUUCAAAGUCCCAUACAGAUCCAAACAUUUCAUGGUUAGAAAUUAAAGAAAAUAAACUUGCUCAAAUUUGUUACCACUUCAAUUUUUCUCGUUGGAACUUUGUUACCAGAGCAUAUAAUUUUCAGACCUAGCUUCAUUACUGGCAAAGGGAAUAUCUCUGGAACUUUUGUUAUGUGCACCACAGAUAUUAGCGCUGCUUAAAAGUUCUAAGUAAGAACUAUAAGAACUCCAAGUCGUCAUAAAAGAGAUGUCUUCUACAAUUGUUAGGGGGCUGAACAUAGGAUGGUUGAACAGUUUGUGCAGUUUUGGAAAAAUUGUGUUCCAUGUAACUUACUGUUUUUAUACUAUAAACUGCAAAAACAACCUCCCACCUCCUCGUCCCUUCAGCUUCUUCCAGAUCUGUGCUCAUAUUUGGUGCAUGUGUUUAAAAGGCUAAGAAAUACUGCCAGCCAUAAAGUGUAGGCAGUUCUUCAAGGAGAGUAAAUGAUGUUUGGAUGCAGGGAGAGGUAGCUGGCUCAACAGAAGGAAAUGUAGGAGUCUUUGUUGAACACAGUCUCCAAUAAACCAACAGGAUUUUGGGGCUUCUAAAAAGCUCAUCUAAUGUUCAGCUAAAUUAAGAAGUUCCAUGAGUGUAAAAUCCCCCCAUACUCUAGUCUAGCGGGUCCAGCCUUGGACAAUUAUAUUCAGGCCUGAGCAUCACAUUAUCAGGAUGGUGAGCUAUUUAGAACUAUGUAUAGUUAUGCACAAUUGGAAGAUUUAAGAGAGUCAGGAUUCCAUAUGGGUGUCUCUCAUUUCUAUUGUCUCUGUUCAGCCCUGUUUCCUCCUUCAGCAGAUGGGUUUCUUCCAUAAUGACAUAGGUUAGGUUCCCUGGGAAAACAAACUCUCCGAUGGAGAUCUGUGUGGACACCAGCUCUGAGAGAAUGAAGGAAGCAAGAGGGGAAAGAGGGAGAAGUUGGGCUACAGUGCCUUCACAACAAUUGCCUCAUCCAAUCCCAUGGGGAUCUCUGGAGCUGCGAUAGCUCUUCAAGAUUUUCCCAAAUUUAAACAGAGGUAUCAGGUCUUUAUACCUCUAUAUUAACCAAUUAUUGGAUGUGGCUGGCUGGGAAACCAAGGGAAAGGCAGCUUCCUUGUGCAGAGAAAGAUUCAGCUGUGAGUCGUACUAGUGGCAUUUGCGGUAGUCAGUGUCAAUGCAUCAGUCCUGAUCUGGUGGCAUAUCUAGAGGCCCAUCAUGGGACCCACUACGAUGAAGAUAUGACCACUAGUGGCCGUAGAUUUACAUUUGUCUAGCUCUAUUA
rnacentral:lncRNA from 10 species